UUCUUAUCAAGAGAAGCUGAGGGUACUGGCCCACGGACGCUUCAGCAACCAGCCGAGACAGGUCAGGUGCUAAAUCCAGCAGACUACUAAAUUUAAGUCUGGAAGAUGAGAA
rnacentral:ncRNA from 2 species